CAUGCAGUCGAGGGGCAGCAUGACCUAGCAAUAGGUUGAUGGCGACCGGCGCACGGGUGAGUAACACGUAUCCAACCUACCGGUUAUUCCGGGAUAGCCUUUCGAAAGAAAGAUUAAUACCGGAUAGUAUAACGAGAAGGCAUCUUUUUGUUAUUAAAGAAUUUCGAUAACCGAUGGGGAUGCGUUCCAUUAGUUUGUUGGCGGGGUAACGGCCCACCAAGACAUCGAUGGAUAGGGGUUCUGAGAGGAAGGUCCCCCACGUUGGAACUGAGACACGGUCCAAACUCCUACGGGAGGCAGCAGUGAGGAAUAUUGGUCAAUGGACGAGAGUCUGAACCAGCCAAGUAGCGUGAAGGAUGACUGCCCUAUGGGUUGUAAACUUCUUUUAUAUGGGAAUAAAGUGAGCCACGUGUGGCUUUUUGUAUGUACCAUACGAAUAAGGAUCGGCUAACUCCGUGCCAGCAGCCGCGGUAAUACGGAGGAUCCGAGCGUUAUCCGGAUUUAUUGGGUUUAAAGGGAGCGUAGGCGGACUAUUAAGUCAGCUGUGAAAGUUUGCGGCUCAACCGUAAAAUUGCAGUUGAUACUGGUCGUCUUGAGUGCAGUAGAGGUAGGCGGAAUUCGUGGUGUAGCGGUGAAAUGCUUAGAUAUCACGAAGAACUCCGAUUGCGAAGGCAGCUUACUGGACUGUAACUGACGCUGAUG
rnacentral:rRNA from 1 species